GUUGUCCGGAAUCACUGGGCGUAAAGCGCGUGUAGGCGGCUCGAUAAGUCUGCUGUGAAAGUUCAGGGCUCAACCCUGAAAUGCCGGUGGAAACUGUCGAGCUAGAGUCCGGAAGAGGCGAGUGGAAUUCCUGGUGUAGCGGUGAAAUGCGCAGAUAUCAGGAGGAACACCAAUGGCGAAGGCAGCUCGCUGGGACGGUACUGACGCUGAGACGCGAAAGCGUGGGGAGCAAACAGG
rnacentral:rRNA from 1 species